CCUACGGGUGGCAGCAGUAGGGAAUAUUGCUCAAUGGGGGAAACCCUGAAGCAGCAACGCCGCGUGGAGGAUGAAGGUUUUCGGAUUGUAAACUCCUUUUGUUAGAGAAGAUAAUGACGGUAUCUAACGAAUAAGCACCGGCUAACUCCGUGCCAGCAGCCGCGGUAAUACGGAGGGUGCAAGCGUUACUCGGAAUGAAUGGGCGUAAAGAGCUCGUAGGCGGGAUAGCAAGUCAGAUGUGAAAUCCUAUGGCUUAACCAUAGAACUGCAUUUGAAACUGUUAUUCUAGAGUAUGGGAGAGGUAGGUGGAAUUCUUGGUGUAGGGGUAAAAUGCGUAGAGAUCAAGAAGAAUACUCAUUGCGAAGGCGACCUGCUAGAACAUAACUGACGCUGAUGCGCGAAAGCGUGGGGAGCAAACAGGAUUAGAUACCCUAGUAGUC
rnacentral:rRNA from 1 species